rnacentral:rRNA from 1 species
AUACGUAGGUGGCAAACGUUGUCCGGAAUUACUGGGCGUAAAGGGCCCGUAGGCGGUCCAACAAGUCGUUUGUGAAAUCUCCCGGCUCAACCGGGAGUGGUCGAGCGAAACUGUUGAACUUGAGGAUGUCAGAGGAAGACGGAAUUCCCGGUGUAGUGGUGAAAUGCGUAGAUAUCGGGAGGAACACCAGUGGCGAAAGCGGUCUUCUGGGGCAUUUCUGACGCUGAGGGGCGAAAGCGUGGGGAGCAAACCGGAUUAGAAACCCGAGUAGUCC